rnacentral:rRNA from 1 species
CGUGGGUAGUCCCGACGAGCGCACCCUUGUNUUAGUUGCUACAUUUAGUUGGGCACUCUAAUGAGACUGCCGGUGACAAACCGGAGGAAGGUGGGGAUGACGUCAAGUCCUCAUGGCCCUUAUGGGUAGGGCUACACACGUCAUACAAUGGCUGGUACAAAGGGUUGCCAACCCGCGAGGGGGAGCUAAUCCCAUAAACCCAGUCGUAGUCCGGAUUGUAGUCUGCAACUCGACUGCAUGAAGUCGGAAUCGCUAGUAAUCGUGGAUCAGAAUGUCACGGUGAAUACGUUCCCGGGUCUUGUACACAC